ensembl:lncRNA
AUGCCGCUCGAAAAGGCGGGGGACGCAGAAAGGAGCCAGCGCAAGGAGCAGCUGAACCGGAGUAGACUGCCCCUGCUGAACACCCGGAUCGGGGACCUGACCAGCGAAGUUUGUCGGCCACAGCCAGGAGGAGUCAGAGCAGCGAGCCCAAGACCGCGGCGCACGCCAAACCCAAACUCAGGUCGGUGGCCUCUGCUGGAGAUCUGCACUGCACCGUGGCGGCCUCGGCUGCUCGCAUUUCCAUCACCACGGCGCAGGGACAGAGGAGACCAAGGGCGAGGUCAACCUGGACCUGCUGGACGACAUCGCCUGGCGUCAGAUCCAGAAGCUAGAGAGUCUGCUGAAGUAUUUGCUGAGGCGCCGCUGCCAGCGAUGAAGACUCGCCCGAUCCAUCAAGCGUUGCAGAAAUCGAACUUUCCAGUUGGCAAUAAAGUUAAUCAAUUAAAGAACUUGUUUUCCUGGAAUGAUUUAUUUCCUCUGACACGUGAAGAUGAGGGCAGGAACCAUGUGGCCGGAUCAGGCUUCCUGAGGAGGCUCCGCCUUCUCACACACCUCUGGAGGGGGUGGGGCCACAGGCCGGUCCUGGGGGCUCACGGCUGGGGUCUCCACGGCCACCAUGUGGGGAUGAAAGGGCCCCACCAGCCAGAUGAGCAGUGUGUUGUUGACCAUGUAGUCCAGGGACUCCCUGACCUGCUCCAGAUGGACCCGGCUGACGCUCGGCACACCAUUGGGCAGCUCGCUCAGCUGCUUUGCCCUGCUCAGGUAGGCGUGCAAGGCGGAGUGGCUGAGGGACAGCACCUCCUGCUGGAGGUGGGUGGGGAGGCCCUGCAGGCUGGAGACCAGGACCAGGCAGGUGGUCUGGAGCUGCUGGGUCAGGGAGCGGGCCAGGGACUCCAUCACCUGAGGGGAUGACAGCAGUUCUGUUGGGAUCCUCAGGAAAAAUAAAUCAAAGAACCGCCACUCACGUUAAGGGUCAAAAUGUUAAUAUAUUGGCAGCAGUGCGAAAAUGUCUAGUUUUUCCAAGAUCUGCCCAGGUAAGCAUAUUGUCUUACAUGAAUAAUUUUCAACUACUUUUACUUAUGUCCAUGUUUUUUGACGUAAAAAUAAACAUGUGAAUCGUGGUUAGCCAAUGAAUUAGCAACGGUCUGCAAAUACUGGAUAUAAUUGUAAGAUGCUGUAUAGAUGUGUAUUGUCACAAGUCCUUUUCGUAGUUUACACACAAGGUUUAACGUAGUUAUGUUCAGAGCACACAGAUCUCUAUUGCGCUUGUGGUAAUGCUGUGUUUCGUAAUUCAGGCAACGAUGAACAGUUUUACAAGAAUUUGCUGUGUAAUUUUGUAGUGUACAGUAAAUUUUAAACACAUUUAGCCAAGGUAUCAUUUGUCUUUUUACCACCGUCACAUUGCAAAAUGUCCUUCAUGUAAAGAUGAUUGCAGUAGCUAAAACAUAAAUGUCUUUCAAAACUGUUCAAAAUUUUCCUUAAAAAUGCAAUAUUAUUGAGGCAAGAAAACCUUUAUGACGGCUGUAAUGCUGCUUUCGAUCUCUUGGUAAAUGGUAAAAUCACGACAAGUUCAGGCGGUUGGUUAGUGUCAACCUUCCACACAGGUUUGACAAACCUCACCAACGUGUAACUGACCUGUAUUUUUCAUCCACACAUACUGUCAGGAACAGACAGGAUUCACCGGGGAACCAGGCAGACAGGAAAACGCUGGAAAGUCAUCAGAACCACAAACGACGAUCUGGCCCCUGCAGCGGAACUCCGGGAACUAAGAAGGGGGCUCGUUAUGGUCCUGAUUCGUCACAGGUGGCGAACUUGAACUCACGGGCGGGAUUGGCCGCAGCUGUGACAGCUGAAGGGAAAGGCGCUUCAUUAAAUAUCCAACAUUAAAGCAAAAUACUUGUUUAAACAUCUUGUUUUGAUACGUUCAUUCACCGGCUGCGUCACCAAAGCUAACCUGUGGAUUUUAUCUAUGUCACAUCAACAUUGUUACUUUUAACGACCGACGUAGCUGUCAUUUUAAUAAUUUAUUGAGUUAUCACAGUGCGCUAACAGUAAGCUUCCGCCGGAAGCUCCCUCGGGUGCCCACCCGAGGGAGCUUCACGUUCGCAGGUGCUUUAUAAGCGAUUCGGGACGCGCGAAGUGAGACGUGAUGGAAAGAUGCCGCUCGAAAAGCCGGGGGACGCAGGAAGGAGCCAGCGCAAGGAGCAGCUGAACCGGAGCAGACUGCCCCUGCUGAACACCCGGAUCGGGGACCUGACGUUCCUCACGUUCCUCAGUAUUCUCUCCUCUCCUCUCCUCUCCUCUGACUACACUCAUCCUUGUUUCUGAAGAGGAGGAACUUUUGCCCAGUCUGGAGCCUGAGCGCCCCCUUAUGGCGGCUUUUGUGUAACAGGUUUGUGUUUGUGCAGAGCGAGUCCGUGCUGGUGCCGCCGUCCCUCCGGGGGGUUCCCAGUAAAAGAGGUGACGCGCAUGCUUCCACAUCCUCGUCCUCCACCCUCCCCCAGAGGUCGUCGGCCAAGACCUCCAAGGUGACCUCGGCUAUUUUGGGGGUUUCUGGGGUGAACUGUGUAAAAUGGUUUUGUUUAACCUGAGCGGGCAGGAAGAGCGGCUAAAACGCUGGCCACCAGUAGCGGCACUAGAAACCUCAGGUGAGGCGGCGGCCAUCUUUGAUCACCAUCUUUGAUCUGAAAAUGCUGACGUGAAUCUGCUACUCGUGCAGAAGUUUGUCGGCCACAACCAAGAGGAGGCAGAGCAGCACGCCCAAGACCGCGGCGCACGCCAAACCCAGACUCGGGUGUGGUUUCUGGGGCCGGGGUCGUGUCGUCCUGAGCAGGUCGUCGUUCCAGGUCGGUGGCCUCUACCGGAGAUCUGCACUGCACCGUGGCGGCCUCGGCUGCUCGCAUCUCCGUCACCACUGCUGCCGCCGCCGUCGUUAAACUUCCUUUGAGUCCCAGGUGGUUUGGAUGGUCAUUAGAGGGACUACAUAUCCCACAAUGCACUGCCCCCUCUGCCCACUGCAGUGGGUAUUGUCACGAACAGACAACAGACAGGAUUCACCGGGGAGCCGGCAGGAUAGAAUAGUCAGAACCAGGCAGGCAGGAAAACGCUGGAAAGUCAUCAGAACCACAAACGACGAUCUGGCAGGGAGGCAGCGGAAUUCCGGGAACUAAGAAGGGGGCUCGUUAUGGUCCUGAUUCGUCACAGGUGGCGAACUUGGACUCAUAGGCGGGAUUGGCCGCAGCUGUGACAGCUGAAGGGAAAACCUCUUCAUUAAAUAUCCAACAUUAAAGCAAAAUACUUGUUUAAACAUCUUGUUUUGAAACGUUCAUUCACAGGCUGCGUCACCAAAGCUAACCGGUGAAUUUUAUCUACAUCACAUCAACAUUGUUACUAUUCUGUCCUGGAUAACACGUCAGGUGUAUUGUAGACAGAUAGCGAACAACAAAAGACCUCGUAGACUUGAUUCCAGGUUGAGAGUUUACUGAAAUCUUGUGAGACCUUACGUUUCUUUGUUUGUCUUGUUGUAAAACUGCAACACAAUAAAUACAGAGAAUGUUACAAUUAAAUCAAAUGAAAUACUGUAUAUGCAACAGCACUGGUUACACUUUCUUUUUUCCCUCUUUCCAGGUUACAUAUCAGGUAAGUAACAGCAUAAACACAGUAAACAGCAAUAAUAGUUUUCACAUAAACACCAGAAACAAUGUGAAUCAGGCUUAGCAAGCAGUUAAAUCUGCCGUACUACUAGCUACUGUAGCCCGCUAGCAUUAGCAUCAACCAGCGAGCAUUGUUUACCAAACAGAAAACAUAUAAACCAAUUGUUCUUAACUUAAAUGCACCUUUAACAGCCUUAAACUUAACUUAAAUGAGUUCACGAUCAGCUGUACUUACUGAUCAAAUCAAUCUUUAUAUAGCAUCUGUUACAAUCAAAAUUGUUUCUAGGCGCUUUACACAAUCCCAGGGCCUAACCCCAAACAAGCAACAGUGGCAAGGAAAAACGGACCAGGCUCAUGUAGGGCUGGCUAGAGGACUUGACUUGGGUUGGGUUUCUGGCCCUCUAGCCAGAAAAAACCCGCCCGCCGUCGUCCUCGCAACUGCCAGCGUCGACUGCGUGAAUACACCAUGGAUGACGAGUACGAUGACGAAGAAAUAAGGAUGACCCCACAGGGACUCUGCCUGUUCCGAUUGUUUGGCAGCUGAUGGGUGGCAAUGGCCUAAUCAGUUUUUCUUUUUUGAAUUGCUUCAUUUUAAAUGAUCCAUUUUCUUUUCCGGAAAUUCAUGAAUAUUUGUUGUAUUUGUGACUAAAAUCUGAAAUGAGUUCACGAUCAGCUGUACUUACUGAUCAAAUCAAUCUUUAUAUAGCAUCUGUUACAAUCAAAAUUGUUUCUAGGCGCUUUACACAAUCCCAGGGCCUAACCCCAAACAAGCAACAGUGGCAAGGAAAAACGGACCAGGCUCAUGUAGGGCUGGCUAGAGGACUUGACUUGGGUUGGGUUUCUGGCCCUCUAGCCAGAAAAAACCCGCCCGCCGUCGUCCUCGCAACUGCCAGCGUCGACUGCGUGAAUACACCAUGGAUGACGAGUACGACGACGAAGAAAUAAGGAUGACCCCACAGGGACUCUGCCUGUUCCGAUUGUUUGGCAGCUGAUGGGUGGCAAUGGCCUAAUCAGUUUUUCUUUUUUGAAUUGCUUCAUUUUAAAUGAUCCAUUUUCUUUUCCGGAAAUUCAUGAAUAUUUGUUGUAUUUGUGACUAAAAUUUGAAAUUGCUCCUGUGUUUAGUGAUGAUUUGAGUCACAUGGUGAAAUUCAAAUGCAAUAAAAGCC